rnacentral:rRNA from 1 species
AUGAAUGAGUCUCUCAAAGCCAUGAGAAUUUCCAUUGAUGAGUGCAAAGAAAGAACCGCUAGGAUGCGUGCUAAGAAAGAUUCCUUUAUAAGAGCGUGUUCUUCUAGUUUCCAUGAUAACAAAGAUGAAGAUCUAAAAUUUAUUGAUGUGUCCCCUAUUAAAUCUUUGUUUUGCAAUAUGAAUCUUGAUAAUGGUGGGACUGAAUAUGAUGCACCUUUACCUAGAAGGCAUUCCAAAAAUUCGGAGUUUUUAGAUCUUGAUGCCAAAUUUGAUAAAAGUGGGAUUGAAGAGAUCAAAACUCUAGAUGUUAAUGAACCUACUAUUGUGGAUUUCAAGGAAUUUAAUUAUAAUAUCUGCUCUUUGAUAGAUUGUAUUUCCUUGUUGCAAUCUGUGCUAAAUUCUCCUCAUGCUUAUAGCCAAAACAAAGCUUUUACCAAACAUAUCGUUCAUGCUUUGAUGCAAUGUUAUGAUGAAAAACUUGAGUUGGAAGUUUCUAUCCCUAGAAAACUUUAUGAUGAGUGGGAACCUACUAUUAAAAUUAAAAUUAAAGAUCAUGAAUGCUAUGCUUUGUGUCAUUUGGGUGCUAGUGUUUCCACGAUCCCAAAGACUUUGUGUGAUUUGUUAGGUUUCCGUGAUUUUGAUGAUUGCUCUUUAAACUUGCACCUUGCGGAUUCCACUAUUAAGAACCCUAUGGGAAGAAUUAAUGAUCUUCUUAUUGUUGCAAAUAGGAAUUAUGUGCCCAUAGAUUUUAUCUUCUUGACAUAG